rnacentral:rRNA from 1 species
GUGCCAGCCGCCGCGGUAACACCAGCGGCUCAAGUGGUAGUCGAUUUUAUUGGGUCUAAAGCGUCCGUAGCCGGAUCGUCAAGUCCCUUGUGAAAUCGGGCGGCUUAACCGCUCGGCUUGCAAGAGAAACUGACGUUCUUGGGGUCGGCAGGCGCCGAGGGUACUCCGGAGGUAGCGGUGAAAUGCUAUAAUCUUCGGGGGACCGCCGGUGGCGAAAGCGCUCGGCGGGGCCGAACCCGACGGUGAGGGACGAAGGCCAGGGGAGCGAACCGGAUUAGAUACCCGGGUAGUCCUGGCUGUAAAGUAUGUGGGCCAGGUGCCAGACGUUCCUCGAGAGCGCUUGGUGCCGAAGGGAAGCCGUUAAGCCCACCACCUGGGGAGUACGGUCGCAAGACUGAAACUUAAAGAAAUUGGCGGGGGAGCACCACAAGGGGUGGAGCCUGCGGUUUAAU